AUGCUGACUGAAAGGGCACACUGCCCACAGCUCCAGGGCCUGCUUCACCAGCCAGUCCCUGCCUGGCCCCCCUCACAGUCUCAGUCCUGGAGGAGGACAUGCCCCCCGACCCACCAGGAGAGGCCACUGGAGAAUCAGAAGGCAACUCACGUCAAUGUCCACCUGCACGAUGGCAGCUGCCACGAAAGCCAUGGAGGCCAGAAACAUGCCGACGGUCAUCUUCUUCAGGGAGCUGGGGAUGAGCGAGAGGGCGGCUCUCAGGAGGCCGUGCGCGCGUGCGCUGAGGGCAUGGCCCGCAGGGAGCCCUCCUUCCCCACCCCGACAAACCAACUCCCCCAAAACACAUGGACCCCAAGGGUCUCUCCAUCAUCUUUUAAAAUAAACACACAAGGGAAGAAACAGAAAAUUCUAGCAAAGAAAGGCUGUGUGGUUCCUUCUGUUACCUUGUUAAAUAAACUAUGAUUUGUAACAAGAAUACUUUUAGUUUUGCAGCUGAGAAGUCAUUUCGGGUAUUGAUGAGAAAAACCAACAGGUAAGUUUAUGUUGCAUUUGGAAUUACUGUGUCUCUAAUAUCUCACACAGGCUUCCCUGGUGGCUCGGUGGUAAAGAACCAGCCUGCCAACGCAGGAGAUGUGGAAUUGACCCCUGGGCCAGGAAGAUCCCCUGGGGAAGGAAAUGGCAACUCACUCCAGUACUCUUGCCUGGGAAAUCCCAUGGACAGAGGAAGCUGGUGGGCUAUAGUCCAUAGGUGUCAUAAACAGGUGGACAUGACCUGGUGACUAACUAUACACACACACACACACACACACACACACACACACACACACACACACACACUCUCUCUCUCUCUCUCUCUCUCUCUCUCUCUCUCUCUCUCUCUCUCUCUCUCUCUCUCUCUCUCUCACAUACUACUGUGAGUACUAGUUAUUAAUAGUUAGUAUCUCCAAGGGAGGGCAGUGAGUAAUGCCUCUGGGACUGAAAGAAAAUUCUGAUGUGAACACAGAGAAAUAGGUGGGUAUCUGGAUUCACUAAGAGAGACAAAAAGAAGUGUGUAACACACACACACAGGCAGGCACACACACUACCUUAGGAUCUCCAGGAGCAAAACAGCUGAUGUAGUUGUUGAUCUGCUUGAAGACAAAGCCUCUGUCCAUGAAGGUGAAACAUCUCUGUGGAGGAAACAACCCACAAGGGUAAGUAUUCAGGCUGUCAUGGAAAGUUGGUUUCAAAUCAAUGUUUACUGUGAAUAAGUUUAUCCUCUGGCAUAAACAUAUUCACUGAGCACCUACUGUGUACGAGUCACUCUGCUAGAAAGAGCACAUUUGGCCCCCGGUGGACGCCCUCCCCACUGGAGGCCCCCCCACCUUGAUGAACACAGCCAGGCUGUGGUUGGCAUUCUUGGAUGCAUCCGGGUUAUCUCGGAACUUCUGCGUGAUGUGAGGCAUUAGCAUAGUCACAACAGUUUCCACCGCGUGAUGAUAGGAGGCAGGGAAUCUCUGGUUUCGCAACAGCUGAAAAGGGUUUAGAGCAAACACUGAUUAUUUUUUAAGUUGAACUGUUUUGGGGGGAAAAGAAAUCUCAUCUCUGAAAGGUACAGGCAUUCAAAUCAGCCAAAGUAAAAUGCAGAGAUUGCUUUAGAAAGCACUGGCUUAGGGUUAAGCCUCAAGUAUUCAAACUGAACACACACAGAAUGGUGAAUGUAUGUCACUAGUUGAAACUGCUCAGAAGGAGUCCUCUUUAACUUUACAUAAUAAUAAUUUUCUCUGUCAGGAAUGCAUACCUAAGAAAUUACACACACAUCACUAAGUGAUUAGCUACUACUUACCAUGUGUCUUCUACAUACUGGGCACUGUCCUAGAUAUUUUUAUAUAACCUUUUCAUUAAAUUCUUAAACACUCUCAUUUUAUAGAGAAUCCGAGAGGUCAGGUAAAUGUGUCUUCAGUCCACACAGCUAACAAUAACAGAGACUCAAACCUGGAUCUAUUUAUACGGUGAGUUCAAGGCCUGUGCGCUUUCUGCUCUGUGAAGCUGUACUGCCCCCUCUCCCACCCUUCUCCUGCUCCAUAAGUGGAACAACUUACUGAGGACCUGGAAUGGGAAGCGGGCUGUACUGGAUGGUCCAUGCAUGCAUAUCAUUCUAACCCCAGAGCAGGGGGUGUUUCCAUCCCUAUGUUACAGACGAGAGGAAACCGAAGCUUGAAAAGAUUCAAUAAAGAAUACUAACUGACCUUUAAUAUCCUUCUUUCCCUUCUCCCUUUUAGUGGCAGAACACUAGGGUUUGACAGGGACACAUGGCCUCCCAGCUAGAGGCUACAUUUCCCAGCGUAACUUGUGGCAAGAUAAUGGUCAUGUGACUCAUUCUGGCCAAUGGGCUAUAAGAGGAAGUUAUGUUGCCUUCCGAAUCCUCCUCUUUGCCACUUCCUGGAAUGUGGGGUGGUGGUGAGCCAGCUUCUCAACCAUGCAGACAAGGAUGCUACCUGGGCUGGAUAAUUGGAUAGGAACGUGAGUCCCCAAAUGACCUUGCAGGACAAGCUUCCCGCUGUUUGAGCUGCCUAUGGCUCAUAAUUUUCAAAAAGAGAGAAAUGAACCUAUUGUCUUAUCAAUGCCACUAUUAUUUUGGCCUAUUCUGGAGCAGCCAAACCAGCAUCUUAAUAGCAAAUAAACAGUAUUCUGUAAAACUAGAACCAGAGCCUAGGUAUUCUGGUAUGAGAGCAUGCAUUAUUUUAUGCUUUAAAUACCAGAAACUAUAGUGAAAUUUUGGAACUCCAGCUUUACAAUAAUCUCAGUUCUCCCACCAAUAAUAAGAAAAUCUUUGUAAAUGUACACAAACUGAAGAAUCCAGUGAGGGAAGGAUCAAGUCAUAAGAAUUGGAAGUUUAUCUACUUUCAAAAACAGAACAGUAAAAUCUGAAAUUCCGAAAGGAUUUUGUUCCAUUCUGGCAAACCAGUAACUCUAGAUUCUGAGGUGUCAGUUCAGUUCAGUCGCUCAGUCGUGUCUGACUCUUUGUGACCUCAUGAAUCGCAGCACGCCAGGCCUCCCUGUCCAUCACCAUCUCCUAGAGUUUACUCAGACUCACGUCCAUCAAGUCCGUGAUGCCAUCCAGCCAUCUCAUCCUCGGUCGUCCCCUUCUCCUCCUGUCCCCAAUCCCUCCCAGCAUCAGAAUUUUUUCCAAUGAGUCAACUCUUCACAUGAGGUGGCCAAAGUACUAGAGCUUCAGCUUUAGCAUCAUUCCUUCCAAAGAAAUCCCAGGGCUGAUCUCCUUCAGAAUGAACUGGUUGGAUCUCCUUGCAGUCCAAGGGACUCUCAAGAGUCUUCUCCAACACCACAGUUCAAAAGCAUCAAUUCUUUGGCACUCAGCCUUCUUCACAGUCCAACUCUCACAUCCAUACACGACCACAGGAAAAACCACAGCCUUGACUAGACGGACCUUAUUCAGCAAAGUAAUGUCUCUGCUUUUGAAUAUACUAUUUAGGUUGGUCAUAACUUUUCUUCCAAGGAGUA
rnacentral:lncRNA from 1 species